rnacentral:rRNA from 1 species
GGAACCUUCGAUUAUUGUCUGCUCCUCCGCGUUGUGGUUUUACCGCCCGGUUAUCCGACCCACCCCUAAGCGAGAGAUACGUUACUACGYYUAGGRCGUGAAACCCCUCCGCCACUAACUUUGAGGAGCUACUUUGGCGUAAGCUCCCGCCACUAGAGGCUAAAGCUUAAGGGGACAAAUGACCCUGGAUGCGCCCUGCCCACUAAAGUACUAAUGGGCGCAAUAUGCGAUCAAAGAUUCGAYYAUUCUCUGAAUUCYGCAUUUCUCAUUACUUAUCGCUUUUCUCUGCGUUCUUCAUCGAUCCCAGAACCCAGAUAUCCGUUGUUGAAAGUUUUAACUUAUUUUGUUAUAGGUUCAAAAUUCAAUAUCAAACAUARUUUGGUGGGCCGCCGGCCGGCUUACCCGCACCUCCCGGGUAAGUCUUACCGGGUAAGACUACCAGGUAGGCGCGACCUGCCGAGGCAACGUUAGGUAUGUUCACGUGGGUUUGGGAGUUAUAGAACUCUUUAAUGAUCCCUCCGCAGGUUCACCUACGGAAGG